UCGAGUCACGAUUGUGACCGAAUUUAAAGCCAAAAUCGCAACGAAUACCAUUGAUCAACCACUGUGAUCACCAGAUUUGACUCCGUGUGAUUUUUUCUUGUUCCUCAAACUGAAAUCUGUGGACACUGUUAAAAUUUCCCCCUCUGGGCUAGCUAUGGUGGCAAACGCUCAUCGCAUUCUGUUAGCUUAUCACAAUUCACAUGCUUGUCCGCAGUUAGUCUUUCUCUAUAAUUUACGUUCUCUGCUAAGUCUUAUUAAACUUAACUUAACACUUUAACACACAAAAAAGGGAGACCAAUUUAGAAUGUCUGGUAUUUAAGUGAAUAAGCGAUAAUCGAAAUUAUUGAGAAUUUUCGAAAUCGUUUGACCUGUCAACAACUUUAAAGUGAAGUUUAAUUCACAGAAAAAUAAAUAUGAAAUAAAUAUUAUUUUUAAUCAGGGCUAACCGAAAGAGAUUACGAGCAGUAUAUAAAGCAACGCAGUCGAUUUAAAAUAUUCAUUUCGUGAAGUUCAACAGUUGGGUGCUAAGUGAAGUCACUAAAUUUAAAACAAUGAAAUUGAUCGCAUUAAUUAUAUUCGCCUUAUUCAGCCUGGGACACUGCCGAGUAAUAACGCAUCCUUGCCCUUAUAAAGAUUAUCUUCACAAUGCUCCGACACGUGAUAUCCUGGAUAAAUAUUUACGUCCACAGAAGUAUAAUCUCCCAGACGUUCAGAUAGAUACAACAAAUUAUCCUCAACAUGCUCCGGCACGUGAUAUCCUGGAUACAUAUGUACGUUCACAGAAGAAGUCUAAUAGUCCAGACGUUCAGAUAGGUACAACAAAUUAUCCUCAACCGGUUCCGGCAAGAGGCAUCCUAGAUACAUAUGUACGUCCACAGAAAAAGUUUAAGCAUCCAGACGUUCUAAUUAACAAUUCGCCGGUUUGGUCAGAGGGGUAUAAUAUUCCCUCAUCUAACAGUUAUUACUGGCGUACGCGCAAUUGGCCCCAAUAUUGAUCUAACAAUUAAUAAUAAAUAAAAUCAAAACGCAAAUAUGUAAAUCAAAA